rnacentral:tRNA from 1 species
GGACCUGUAGCGCAAUUGGCUGUCGCGCUGCCCUUUCAAGGCAGAGGAUGUCGGUUCGAGUCCGGCCGGGUCCACC